rnacentral:rRNA from 1 species
CAAAUAUCCUCAUAAGUUAGACGAUAAGAGGUACCAUCUAUUAUUUUCUUUUCAUAAAAUUAAAGAUAGGUGGUGGCACAGAAUCGGAGGCCCCGACUGUUUACUAAAAACACAACACAGUGCAAUCAUUAAUGUGAUAGUAUACUGUGUGAAAUUUGCCCAAUGCCAUUAAUAUAAAAGCGGUCAUAUGGAAAUGUGACUAAUUGAAAAUCUGGUUAAUAGCGGUCUUAACCAUGAGGAUCCUAAGGUAGCAAAAUAAAUUGGCCAUUAAAUGUGGUCCGGUAUCAAUAAUGUAACGAUGGCCUCACUGUCUCUACAACUUGCUCAGUGAAAUUGAAUUACGCGUGCAGAUGCGCGUUACCUCCAGUGGGACGGGAAGACCCUAUGCAGCUUCU